rnacentral:misc_RNA from 1 species
CUGAAUGGCCUUCUGGGCCUUCAACCUUGUAAACCUGUGGAAGCAAGAUGUGCUUUGGCGCUUUGGCGCCACUUUUAUGCUUUAACAAGUAUUUGUGUCUGAAUAAAAUACAAGAAAUA